rnacentral:rRNA from 1 species
GACGAACGCUGGCGGCGUGCUUAACACAUGCAAGUCGAACGGAAAGGCCCUGCUUUUGUGGGGUGCUCGAGUGGCGAACGGGUGAGUAGCACGUGAGUAACCUGCCCUUGACUUUGGGAUAACUUCAGGAAACUGGGGCUAAUACCGGAUAGGCGCUCCUGCUGCAUGGUGGGGGUUGGAAAGUUUCGGCGGUUGGGGAUGGACUCGCGGCUUAUCAGCUUGUUGGUGGGGUAGUGGCUUACCAAGGCUUUGACGGGUAGCCGGCCUGAGAGGGUGACCGGCCACAUUGGGACUGAGAUACGGCCCAGACUCCUACGGGAGGCAGCAGUGGGGAAUAUUGCACAAUGGGCGGAAGCCUGAUGCAGCAACGCCGCGUGCGGGAUGACGGCCUUCGGGUUGUAAACCGCUUUCGCCUGUGACGAAGCGUGAGUGACGGUAAUGGGUAAAGAAGCACCGGCUAACUACGUGCCAGCAGCCGCGGUGAUACGUAGGGUGCGAGCGUUGUCCGGAUUUAUUGGGCGUAAAGGGCUCGUAGGUGGUUGAUCGCGUCGGAAGUGUAAUCUUGGGGCUUAACCCUGAGCGUGCUUUCGAUACGGGUUGACUUGAGGAAGGUAGGGGAGAAUGGAAUUCCUGGUGGAGCGGUGGAAUGCGCAGAUAUCAGGAGGAACACCAGUGGCGAAGGCGGUUCUCUGGGCCUUUCCUGACGCUGAGGAGCGAAAGCGUGGGGAGCGAACAGGCUUAGAUACCCUGGUAGUCCACGCUGUAAACGGUGGGUACUAGGUGUGGGGUCCAUUCCACGGGUUCCGUGCCGUAGCUAACGCUUUAAGUACCCCGCCUGGGGAGUACGGCCGCAAGGCUAAAACUCAAAGGAAUUGACGGGGCCCCGCACAAGCGGCGGAGCAUGCGGAUUAAUUCGAUGCAACGCGUAGAACCUUACCUGGGUUUGACAUGGAUCGGGAGCGCUCAGAGAUGGGUGUGCCUCUUUUGGGGUCGGUUCACAGGUGGUGCAUGGCUGUCGUCAGCUAGUGUCGUGAGAUGUUGGGUUAAGUCCCGCAACGAGCGCAACCCUUGUUCACUGUUGCCAGCACGUUAUGGUGGGGACUCAGUGGAGACCGCCGGGGUCAACUCGGAGGAAGGUGGGGAUGACGUCAAGUCAUCAUGCCCCUUAUGUCCAGGGCUUCACGCAUGCUACAAUGGCUGGUACAGAGAGUGGCGAGCCUGUGAGGGUGAGCGAAUCUCGGAAAGCCGGUCUCAGUUCGGAUUGGGGUCUGCAACUCGACCUCAUGAAGUCGGAGUCGCUAGUAAUCGCAGAUCAGCAACGCUGCGGUGAAUACGUUCCCGGG